rnacentral:rRNA from 1 species
AUACGUAGGUGGCAAGCGUUGUCCGGAAUUAUUGGGCGUAAAGCGCGCGCAGGCGGCCUUUUAAGUCUGAUGUGAAAGCCCCCGGCUUAACCGGGGAGGGUCAUUGGAAACUGGGAGGCUUGAGUGCAGAAGAGGAAAGUGGAAUUCCAAGUGUAGCGGUGAAAUGCGUAGAGAUUUGGAGGAACACCAGUGGCGAAGGCGACUUUCUGGUCUGUUACUGACGCUGAGGCGCGAAAGCGUGGGGAGCAAACAGGAUUAGAUACCCUGGUAGUCCACGCCGUAAACGAUGAGUGCUAAGUGUUAGAGGGGUCACACCCUUUAGUGCUGCAGCUAACGCGAUAAGCUCUCCGCCUGGGGAGUACGGCCGCAAGGCUGAA